rnacentral:rRNA from 1 species
UUGGUUAAGUCCCGCAACGAGCGCAACCCUUAUCCCCAGUUGCCAUCAGGUAGAGCUGGGAACGUCUGGGGAGGACUGCCGGUGACAAACCGGAGGAAGGUGGGGAUGACGUCAAGUCAUCAUGGCCUCUAUGUCCAGGGCUACACACGUACUACAAUGGUCGGUACAAAGGGCUGCAAGCCCGCAGGGGGAGCCAAUCCCAAAAAGCCGGCCUCAGUUCGGAUUGCAGUCUGCAACUCGACUGCAUGAAGGUGGAAUCGCUAGUAAUCGCGCAUCAGCACGGCGCGGUGAAUACGUUCCCGGGCCUU